GAUGAACGCUGACAGAAUGCUUAACACAUGCAAGUCCACUUGAAUUUGGGUUUUUAACUUAGGUUUGGGUGGCGGACGGGUGAGUAACGCGUAAAGAACUUGCCUCACAGCUAGGGACAACAUUUGGAAACGAAUGCUAAUACCUAAUAUUAUGAUAAUAGGGCAUCCUAUAAUUAUGAAAGCUAUAAGCGCUGUGAGAGAGCUUUGCGUCCCAUUAGCUAGUUGGAGAGGUAACGGCUCACCAAGGCGAUGAUGGGUAGCCGGCCUGAGAGGGUGAUCGGCCACAAGGGGACUGAGACACGGCCCUUACUCCUACGGGAGGCAGCAGUGGGGAAUAUUGGACAAUGGACCGAGAGUCUGAUCCAGCAAUGCUGUGUGCACGAUGAAGUUUUUCGGAAUGUAAAGUGCUUUCAGUUGGGAAGAAACAAAUGACGGUACCAACAGAAGAAGUGACGGCUAAAUACGU
rnacentral:rRNA from 1 species